CGCUAUACAUGCAGUCGACGAGAAAGGCCCUUCGGGGACGAGUAAAGUGGCGGACGGGUGAGGAACGCGUGGAUAACAUGCCCUUCAGCGGGGGAUAACUAUUGGAAACGAUAGCUAAUACCGCAUAAGACUACGACUCCUGCGGGUAACGUAGUCAAAGGCUUCGGCCACUGAAGGAUUGGUCCGCGUCCGAUUAGUUUGUUGGUGGGGUAAAGGCCUACCAAGACUACGAUCGGUAGCUGGUCUCAGAGGAUGAUCAGCCACACUGGAACUGAGACACGGUCCAGACUCCUACGGGAGGCAGCAGUAGGGAAUAUUGCACAAUGGAGGAAACUCUGAUGCAGUGACGCCGCGUGAGCGAUGAAGGCCUUCGGGUUGUAAAGCUCUGUGAUAUGGGAAGAUAAUGACGGUACCAUAUCAGAAAGGACCGGCUAACUUCGUGCCAGCAGCCGCGGUAAUACGAGGGGUCCAAGCGUUGUUCGGAAUUACUGGGCGUAAAGCGGGUGUAGGCGGCUAGGCUAGUCGGAUGUGAAAGCCCAGGGCUCAACCCUGGAAGUGCAUCCGAUACUGCCUAGCUUGAAUACUGGAGAGGGAAGUGGAAUUCCUGGUGUAGCGGUGAAAUGCGUAGAUAUCAGGAGGAACAUCGGUGGCGAAGGCGGCUUCCUGGCCAUGUAUUGACGCUCAGACCCGAAAGCGUGGGUAGCAAACAGGAUUAGAUACCCUGGUAGUCCACGCCGUAAACUAUGGACACUUGGUGUUGGAGGUAUUGACCCCUUCAGUCGCUAUACAUCGCUAUACAUUGUCCCC
rnacentral:rRNA from 1 species